rnacentral:rRNA from 1 species
AUUGAACGCUGGCGGCAGGCCUAACACAUGCAAGUCGAACGAGUGGCGGACGGGUGAGUAAUGUCUGGGAAACUGCCUGAUGGAGGGGGAUAACUACUGGAAACGGUAGCUAAUACCGCAUACCACAGGAUGUGCCCAGAAGGGAUUAGCUUGUGGGUGGGGUAAAGGCUCACCAAGGCGACGAUCCCUAGCUGGUCUGAGAGGAUGACCAGCCACACUGGCACGGAGACACGGUCCCAACUCCUACGGAAGGCAGCAGUGGGGAAUAUAGCACAAGGGACGCAAGCCUGAUGCGGCCAUGCCGCGUGUAUGAAGAAGGCCUUCGGGUUGUAAAGUACUUUCAGCGGGGAGGCGUUACCCGCAGAAGAAGCACCUGCUAACUCCGUGCCAGCAGCCGCGGUAAUUC